rnacentral:rRNA from 1 species
UGGGUAACCUGCCCGGAAGUGGGGAAUACCUCGGGGAAACUCGAGCUAAUACCGCAUGACAUCUUCGGGACGAAAGUCCUGGUGAUCAAAGCGGGGUCGCAAGAUCUCGCGCUACCGGAUGGGGCCCCGCGCCCGAUUAGCUAGUUGGUGAGGUAACGGCUCACCAAGGCUUCGAUCGGUAACCGCUGAGAGGGUNAUCGGCCACAUUGGAACUGAGACACGGUCCAGACCUCCGUACGGGAGNAG